AGGUUGAUCCUGCUCAGACGACGCUGACGUUGGCUUACGCAUGCAAGUCGAACGAGAAGGCCCUUCGGGGUGAGUAAAGUGGCGAACGGNCUGAGUAACACGUGGGCAACCUGCCCCCUCGCAGGGGAACAACCCGGAGGAAACUCCGGCUAAUACCCCGUAAGCUUUCAGGGUCGCAUGGCCUUGAAAAGAAAGGUAGCUUCGGCCAUCCGGCGAGGGAUGGGCCCGCGGUGCAUUAGCUAGUUGGUGGGGUAAAGGCCCACCAAGGCGACGAUGCGUAGCUGGUCUGAGAGGAUGAUCAGCCACACUGGGACUGAGACACGGCCCAGACUCCUACGGGAGGCAGCAGCCAGGAAUCUUGGGCAAUGGGCGAAAGCCUGACCCAGCAACACCGUGUGGGCGAUGAAGGCCUUCGGGUCGUAAAGCCCUGUUGUUAGGGACGAAGGGCGAAGGGUUAAUAGCCCCUAGCCUGACGGUACCUUUCGAGGAAGCCCCGGCUAACUACGUGCCAGCAGCCGCGGUAAUACGUAGGGGGCGAGCGUUGUCCGGAAUUAUUGGGCGUAAAGAGCGUGUAGGCGGUUCGGUAAGUCUGUCGUGAAAUCCUGGGGCUCAACCCUGGGCGUGCGAUGGAUACUGCCGGGCUAGAGGGUGGUAGAGGCGAGUGGAAUUCCCGGUGUAGCGGUGAAAUGCGCAGAUAUCGGGAGGAACACCAGUAGCGAAGGCGGCUCGCUGGGCCACACCUGACGCUGAGACGCGAAAGCUAGGGGAGCAAACAGGAUUAGAUACCCUGGUAGUC
rnacentral:rRNA from 1 species